UUUAUAGAUAUAUAUAUAUAUAUAGAGCAUUUGAAAUUACCUUUACUUAUAUAAACCUUAACUCCUGGGCUUGAUCUUAGCUCUAAGAGUAUUCUUCAUGACCACAGUGAACUCCAACUUCCCACUAAAAUCCACAUUCUUAUCUGAUGGGUAAGCACUCCAUUCAAAUUCUUGAACCAUUCUUGCAAUCAUUAGAUGCAAAUGCACAGUGGCUAACCCUAAACCAGGGCAAAUCCUCCUCCCUACACCAAACGGUGUCAUUUUUACUUCAGUCACUCCGGUUAUGUCGACUUCCUCCCUGCCGGAAACGAACCGGUUCGGAUCGAAUUUUUCUGGAUUGGACCAAAUUCUUGGAUCCUCCCCUAUUGCUGGGGAGAAGAUUUCAACAUUUGUAUCAGUUGGAAUAUCAUACCCUCCCAAAGUUGUUGCUUCGGUUACUGCAUGGGUUAGUAGAAAAAAUGUGGGUGGGUGUUUACGUAGCAAUUCUUUUACGAUUGCCUGUAAAUAGCCCAUCUUUUCUACGUCUUUUUCAUCAACUUUCCGAUCACCCACUGUUUGUUUUAUUUCAUUGUACAACUUAGCUUGAACAUUGGGAUUGUCGAUAAGCUGUGCGAUGCCCCACUCAACUGCCGUCGCCGUGGUAUCGGUUCCACCGUUGAGGAACUCUGAGCAAAGGGUGACCAGUUCUUGAUCGGUGGGAGAUGAUUUUCGCCCUUCGAUAUUUAGGUCAUAAAGGGUAUCUAAAUAUGAGAAUGAUAUUGCUGUUGAAUCUGAUCCUGGGUUUUGGAGAGCCUUUCGGCGCUUUUCGAUCAAGGGAACCAUGAAAUCAACUUGCUGUUUUCUAACUUGAGAUACCCUUUUCCUUUGCUUGGAGAAAAAUGGACUCAAAAUUGGAAGAAAAUCAUCGAUUCUUGGAUCAAGAACUAUCAAGACUGAUUUCAUUAUUUGAUCCAUCUUGAUGAUUGUUUCUUCAUCCAUUUCAAGCCCAAAACACAUAGUUAAAAGUAUACAGAACACUGCAUACCGAGCAUUUUUAAGCACCCAAACAACUCCAUCGUUAACCUCAGCCUCAGUUCUAAGCCGAUGGAUAAAUUUAUCCAUUGCACUUUCUCUUACGUUUCGAAACUCCUUAAUCCUGCUUGAACUAAGCAUAUUCUGCACCAUAUUCCGCCUCAGUGACCGCCACACAGGGCCAUAAACGGCGGCGUUGACAGUGAACUUGUUGCAGCUAAAGAUGGCUCUUGUAGGGUUUUCGCGAGGUCUGGUAGCAAAGAGAGGACCCCUUUCAAUGAGUGCUUCAUGGACUAACUUAGCAUCAGUAAGGAUUAUGAGUGUUCUUGUUCCCAUCUUGAGAGUAAAGAUUGGACCAUAUUUUGGACGUAAGUCUUCCACAUACUGAAAAAAUGGCUUUCCAGAGCAAGCGACCUGGAAAAGAUUGCCAACCACAGGCCAACCAGGCGGUCCUGGAGGAAGAUUUAAGCGUUUGGAUUUGGUUUUGCGAGAAAACAAGAAAAUAAGACCUGAAAUGAAGAAGGCAAGAAUGGAAAAGAAGAGAUGAUAGUGAGAGGCAAAAGAAGAAGCCAUUAAUUCUAUCUGUUUCUGUUUGUCGUCGAUGGAAAGAGGAGGUGA
rnacentral:misc_RNA from 1 species